AUUGAACGCUGGCGGCAGGCCUAACACAUGCAAGUCGAACGGCGCGGCGAACGGGUGAGUAAUGCCUAGGAAUCUGCCCGGUAGUGGGGGAUAACUCCCGGAAAGGGGCGCUCAUACCGCAUACUUUCAACUGGGCCUAGGUUGGAUGAGCUAGUUGGAGGGGUAACGGCCUACCAAGGCGACGAUGCGUAGCGGGUCUGAGAGGAUGAUCAGUCACACUGGAACUGAGACACGGCCCAGACUCCUACGGGAGGCAGCAGUGGGGAAUAUUGGACAAUGGGCGAAAGCCUGAUCCAGCCAUGCCGCGUGUGUGAAGAAGGUCUUCGGAUUGUAAAGCUCUUUUGGUAGGGAAGCGGUACCUACAGAAUAAGCACCGGCUAACUACGUGCCAGCAGCCGCGGUAAUAC
rnacentral:rRNA from 1 species